rnacentral:rRNA from 1 species
UGCAGUCGAGGGGCAUCAGUUUGGUUUGCUUGCAAACCAAAGCUGGCGACCGGCGCACGGGUGAGUAACACGUAUCCAACCUGCCUCAUACUCGGGGAUAGCCUUUCGAAAGAAAGAUUAAUAUCCGAUAGCAUAUAUUUCCCGCAUGGGUUUUAUAUUAAAGAAAUUCGGUAUGAGAUGGGGAUGCGUUCCAUUAGUUUGUUGGCGGGGUAACGGCCCACCAAGACUACGAUGGAUAGGGGUUCUGAGAGGAAGGUCCCCCACAUUGGAACUGAGACACGGUCCAAACUCCUACGGGAGGCAGCAGUGAGGAAUAUUGGUCAAUGGACGCGAGUCUGAACCAGCCAAGUAGCGUGAAGGAUGACUGCCCUAUGGGUUGUAAACUUCUUUUAUAUGGGAAUAAAGUGGUCCACGUGUGGAUUUUUGUAUGUACCAUAUGAAUAAGGAUCGGCUAACUCCGUGCCAGCAGCCGCGGUAAUACGGAGGAUCCGAGCGUUAUCCGGAUUUAUUGGGUUUAAAGGGAGCGUAGGCGGAUUGUUAAGUCAGUUGUGAAAGUUUGCGGCUCAACCGUAAAAUUGCAGUUGAUACUGGCAGUCUUGAGUGCAGUAGAGGUGGGCGGAAUUCGUGGUGUAGCGGUGAAAUGCUUAGAUAUCACGAAGAACUCCGAUUGCGAAGGCAGCUCACUGGAGUG